CCUACGGGCGGCAGCAGUGGGGAAUAUUGGGCAAUGGGCGCAAGCCUGACCCAGCAACGCCGCGUGAAGGAAGAAGGCAGUGGGUUUGUAAACUUCUUUUAUCAGGGACGAAGCAAGUGACGGUACCUGACGAAUAAGCCACGCGUAACUACGUGCCAGCAGUCGCUGUGAUACGUAGGUGGCAAGCGUUAUCCGGAUUUACUGGGUGUAAAGGGUGUGUAGGCGGGAGUGCAAGUCAGAUGUGAAAACUAUGGGCUCAACCCAUAGCCUGCAUUUGAAACUGUACUUCUUGAGUGCUGGAGAGGUAAUCGGAAUUCCGGGUGUAGCGGUGAAAUGCGUAGAUAUACGGAGGAACCCCAGUGGCGAAGGCAGAUUGCUGGAC
rnacentral:rRNA from 1 species